rnacentral:rRNA from 1 species
GACGAACGCUGGCGGCGUGCCUAAUACAUGCAAGUAGAACGCUGAAGGAGGAGCUUGCUUCUCUGGACGAGUUGCGAACGGGUGAGUAACGCGUAGGUAACCUGCCUGGUAGCGGGGGAUAACUAUUGGAAACGAUAGCUAAUACCGCAUAAUAGCAGUUAUUGCAUGAUAACUGUUUGAAAGGUGCAAUUGCACCACUACCAGAUGGACCUGCGUUGUAUUAGCUAGUUGGUGGGGUAACGGCUCACCAAGGCGACGAUACAUAGCCGACCUGAGAGGGUGAUCGGCCACACUGGGACUGAGACACGGCCCAGACUCCUACGGGAGGCAGCAGUAGGGAAUCUUCGGCAAUGGACGGAAGUCUGACCGAGCAACGCCGCGUGAGUGAAGAAGGUUUCCGGAUCGUAAAGCUCUGUUGUAAGAGAAGAACGAGUGUGAGAGUGGAAAGUUCACACUGUGACGGUAUCUUACCAGAAAGAGACGGCUAACUACGUG